rnacentral:rRNA from 1 species
UACGUAGGGGGCAAGCGUUGUCCGGAAUCAUUGGGCGUAAAGAGCGUGUAGGCGGCCAGAUAAGUCUGCUGUGAAAGUCCAGGGCUCAACCCUGGGAUGCCGGUGGAUACUGUCGAGCUCGAGUCCGGAAGAGGCGAGUGGAAUUCCUGGUGUAGCGGUGAAAUGCGCAGAUAUCAGGAGGAACACCAAUGGCGAAGGCAGCUCGCUGGGACGUGACUGACGCUGAGACGCGAAAGCGUGGGGAGCAAACAGG